UACGGGGGGGGCAAGCGUUGUUCGGAAUUACUGGGCGUAAAGGGCUCGUAGGCGGCCAACUAAGUCAGACGUGAAAUCCCUCGGCUUAACCGGGGAACUGCGUCUGAUACUGGAUGGCUUGAGUGUGGGAGAGGGAUGCGGAAUUCCAGGUGUAGCGGUGAAAUGCGUAGAUAUCGUAAGGAAGACCAGUGGCGAAGGCGGGUCUCUGGACAGUUCCUGACGCUGAGGCACGAAGGUCAGGGGAGCAAACGGG
rnacentral:rRNA from 1 species